rnacentral:piRNA from 1 species
UGAACUGGACCAGGAGGAAGAGGGCU